rnacentral:rRNA from 1 species
UGAGGAAUAUUGGUCAAUGGGCGGGAGCCUGAACCAGCCAAGCCGCGUGAGGGAGGAAGGCCCUAUGGGUCGUAAACCUCUUUUGUCAGGGAACAAAAGCGAGUAUGUAUACUAGUCUGAGUGUACCUGAAGAAAAAGCAUCGGCUAACUCCGUGCCAGCAGCCGCGGUAAUACGGAGGAUGCGAGCGUUAUCCGGAUUUAUUGGGUUUAAAGGGUGCGUAGGCGGCGGUGCAAGUCAGCGGUAAAAGCCCGGGGGCUCAACCCCGGCGAGCCGUUGAAACUGCAGUGCUAGAGAAGGCGAGAGGUACGCGGAAUGCGCAGUGUAGCGGUGAAAUGCAUAGAUAUCACGCAGAACUCCGAUUGCGAAGGCAGCAUACCGGCGCUCAACUGACGCUGAGGCACGAAAGCGUGGGGAUCGAACAGGGAUUAGAUACC